rnacentral:lncRNA from 1 species
AUCGCGGGCCGUAAGUGGCUGUGGAGCUGGGGUCACUGCGCGGUGGGACCAUGGCCUCGGAGAAGCCGCUGGCGGCAGUCACUUGUACAGCGCCGGUCAACAUCGCGGUCAUCAAGUACUAGAUGGGGUUUCACCGUGUUAGCCAGGCUGGUCUGAAGCUCCUGACCUCGUGAUCUGCCCACCUCAGCCUCCCAAAGUGCUGGGAUUACAGACUGUCACUGCGACACCCAGGCUGGAGUGCAAUGGCGUGAUCUCGGCUCACUGCAACCUCCGCUUCCCGGGUUCAACCGAUUCUCCUGCCUCAGCCUCUCGAGUAGCUGGGACUACAGGGGGCAAGCGCGAUGAAGAGCUGGUUCUGCCCAUCAACUCCUCCCUGAGCGUCACUCUGCACCAGGACCAGUUAAAAACCACCACAACAGCCGUCAUCAGCAAGGACUUCACCGAGGACCGGAUUUGGCUGAAUGGCCGGGAGGAGGAUGUGGGGCAGCCGCGGCUGCAGGCCUGCCUGCGGGAGAGUGAGCUGGGGUCCCCAUAAGCCCAUCCCUCCCUGUUGUCAGCAGGGUCCGAGCAUCCAGAAAGUGCUUCUGCCUCUGUGCCCCUCCUGAGGCAGCAGGCGGGGUGGCUGGGAACCAGACAUGCCCGCUGGGCCGCCAGCUCCAGGGCAGUGGCCCACCUCAAUGACCAGCUGGGCUUGGGUCAGUCUGGGGUUUUCCCGGGUAAGAAACUCUCCACGAGGAGUCUGGCAGGCAGAGGCCUGGUGUUCAGCUGUGACCCCGGGCAGGUGGGCAGGAGCAGGGCGGGCAGGGUGCUGACGGCUGGGCCACACGCUGUCUCAUUGUCUCUGCAGUCCGCUGCCUGGCCCGGAAGCGGAGGAACUCACGGGAUGGGGACCCGCUGCCCUCCAGCCUCAGCUGCAAGGUGCACGUGGCAUCGGUGAACAACUUCCCCACGGCUGCGGGCCUGGCCUCCUCAGCGGCGGGCUAUGCCUGCCUAG